rnacentral:rRNA from 1 species
GACGAACGCUGGCGGCGUGCUUAACACAUGCAAGUCGAACGGAAAGGCCCUGCUUUUGUGGGGUGCUCGAGUGGCGAACGGGUGAGUAACACGUGAGUAACCUGCCCUUGACUUUGGGAUAACUUCAGGAAACUGGGGCUAAUACCGGAUAGGAGCUCCUGCUGCAUGGUGGGGGUUGGAAAGUUUCGGCGGUUGGGGAUGGACUCGCGGCUUAUCAGCUUGUUGGUGGGGUAGUGGCUUACCAAGGCUUUGACGGGUAGCCGGCCUGAGAGGGUGACCGGCCACAGUGGUCCGCAGCGACACCGCGUCGUAGGACGGGCGGCGGGAGGGGGCAGAAUGGCAGAGGGGGAGGACGCCCUAUGCCGCCACGGCGUGUGCGAGACGGACGGCGGGGGGGUAUAAGGCUCUCGCGCGGGAGAAGAAGCGUGGGUGGAAAGAAAGGAAAAAGGACAACCGGCUCACUGCGGGCCCGGAGCCAAUGUAAUAGAACGGGCAAUUCUGACC